rnacentral:rRNA from 1 species
GAUGAACGCUGGCGGCGUGCUUAACACAUGCAAGUCGAACGUGAGAAUAGCAAUAUUUGAAAGUGGCAAACGGGUGAGUAACACGUGGGAACCUGCCUCGAAGUGGGGGAUAACGAUUGGAAACGGUCGCUAAUACCGCACGGUUCUGCUCUGAUGGGAAUGGAGCAGAUAAAGAUUUAUCGCUUUGAGAGGGGCCCGCGGCCGAUUAGCUAGUUGGUAAGGUAAAGGCUUACCAAGGCGAUUAUCGGUAGCUGGUCUGAGAGGACGAUCAGCCACACGGGAACUGAGACACGGUCCCGACUCCUACGGGGGGCAGCAGUGAGGAAUAUUGGGCAAUGGGCGAAAGCCUGACCCAGCAACGCCGCGUGGAGGAUGAAGGCUUUAGGGUUGUAAACUCCUUCUGUGGGGGAAAAGAAUGGAUGGUACCCCAAGAAUAAGUCACGGCUAACUACGUGCCAGCAGCCGCGGUAAGGAGCUGUCGU